GUGAUUGAAACCGCGCGUCGAUCAGCCUAUAUAUCGGAUGUCCUUCGGGACUAUGGACAUAAACGCGCUCGUCAUAAGCGGAUCGGACCCGGGGGCGGUACCCGGCGGCUCCACCAUAUAUCCUUCAUUUGAGGAUCAUGGGGCCGAAACAGGAUCGACGAACGUCUAAAGGGGUUAGCUUUGUCUCGGCGGGGUACCACCGUUAUCGGUCCGACAAGUACAAUUGCAAAUGACAAUCGUGCUCCGGUUGCAGUUGCUGCGUAAGCAGUAGCAAGACCGAAACUUAAGCCCUUGCGCCUAGCCGCGUAAGGCGGGGUUCGCAGGCACCUGGCAACAGAAGCCUGCACU
rnacentral:tmRNA from 1 species